rnacentral:rRNA from 1 species
CCUACGGGAGGCUGCAGUGAGGAAUAUUGGUCAAUGGACGAGAGUCUGAACCAGCCAAGUAGCGUGAAGGAUGACUGCCCUAUGGGUUGUAAACUUCUUUUAUAUGGGAAUAAAACAUGGUAUGCAUACCCUCUUGUAUGUACCAUAUGAAUAAGGAUCGGCUAACUCCGUGCCAGCAGCCGCGGUAAUACGGAGGAUCCGAGCGUUAUCCGGAUUUAUUGGGUUUAAAGGGAGCGUAGGUGGAUGGUUAAGUCAGUUGUGAAAGUUUGCGGCUCAACCGUGAAAUUGCAGUUGAAACUGGCAGGCGUGAGUACAGUAGCGGUAGGCGGAAUUCGUGGUGUAGCGGUGAAAUGCUUAGAUAUCACGAAGAACCCCGAUUGCGAAGGCAGCUCACUAAGCUGCAACUGACACUGAUGCACGAAAGUGUGGGUAUCAAACAGGAUUAGAUACCCCUGUAGUC